rnacentral:rRNA from 1 species
CAGCAGCCACGGUAAAACAGAGGGUGCGAGCGUUAAUCGGAUUUACUGGGCGUAAAGCGUGCGUAGGCGGCUUCUUAAGUCGGAUGUGAAAUCCCUGAGCUUAACUUAGGAAUUGCAUUCGAUACUGGGAAGCUAGAGUAUGGGAGAGGAUGGUAGAAUUCCAGGUGUAGCGGUGAAAUGCGUAGAGAUCUGGAGGAAUACCGAUGGCGAAGGCAGCCAUCUGGCCUAAUACUGACGCUGAGGUACGAAAGCAUGGGGAGCAAACAGGAUUAGAUACCCCAGUAGUCCCUGUCUCUUAUAA